rnacentral:rRNA from 1 species
GAUGAACGCUAGCGGCAGGCUUAACACAUGCAAGUCGAGGGGCAGCAUGACACGGAGAUUCGUCGAAGUGUUGAUGGCGACCGGCGCAAGGGUGCGUAACGCGUGAGCAACUUGCCCGUUUCUGGGGCAUAACCGGUGGAAACGCCGACUAAUACCCCAUAGUAUUGGAUUUAGGCAUCUUUAUCCAAUUAAAGAAAUUCGGAAACGGAUAGGCUCGCGUGACAUUAGCUAGAUGGCGGGGUAACGGCCCACCAUGGCGACGAUGUCUAGGGGUUCUGAGAGGAAGGUCCCCCACACUGGAACUGAGACACGGUCCAGACUCCUACGGGAGGCAGCAGUGAGGAAUAUUGGUCAAUGGUCGGAAGACUGAACCAGCCAUGCCGCGUGAAGGUCACGGCCCUAUGGGUCUUAAACUUCUUUUGUAAGGGGAGCCAAUAAAGGUUCACGUGUGGACUGAUGAGAGUACCUUACGAAUAAGCAUCGGCUAAUCCGUGCCAGCAGCCG